rnacentral:tRNA from 1 species
GAAGUGGUCGUAACGGGGUAACGGGCCCGACUCGAAAUCGGGUUGUCGGUUAGUAGCCGGCACGUGGGUUCGAAUCCCACCCUCUCCG